rnacentral:rRNA from 1 species
GUGGGGAAUCUUGCGCAAUGGGCGAAAGCCUGACGCAGCCAUGCCGCGUGAAUGAUGAAGGUCUUAGGAUUGUAAAAUUCUUUCACCGGGGACGAUAAUGACGGUACCCGGAGAAGAAGCUCCGGCUAACUUCGUGCCAGCAGCCGCGGUAAUACGAAGGGGGCUAGCGUUGCUCGGAAUUACUGGGCGUAAAGGGCGCGUAGGCGGACAGCUUAGUCAGAGGUGAAAGCCCAGGGCUCAACCUUGGAAUUGCCUUUGAUACUGGCUGUCUUGAGUUUGGGAGAGGUGAGUGGAACUCCGAGUGUAGAGGUGAAAUUCGUAGAUAUUCGGAAGAACACCAGUGGCGAAGGCGACUCACUGGCCCAAUACUGACGCUGAGAAGCGAAAGCGUGGGGAGCAAACAGGCUUAGAAACCCGAGUAGUCC